ensembl:lncRNA
GACCUGCCAUUAUUUUUUUGCAUUUUUUUUGCAAUUUAAAAAUUAAAACUUCAAGGCCCUGAGUCUUCAUUGACAUCCAAGAAAAGAAGAAAAAAUAAAAUCAUAUGAUGAUAAUUUGGGGUUGAAAAAUAGCAUUUAUAAUGGAAGUCAAUGGGCAGAAAAUGGUCCCCAGGGUGAUGGGUGUGGGGAUUUCUGCUGCUCAGCCAUUUUAGGCUGAUUUAAGGAAUUCACACUGGAAUAUUAACAUUGACAGGUAAAAACUAUCCUGUGGCAAGUUUGGUUAUAUUCCACUAAACACAGUGGAAAUGGCAGCCAUUUAACACAUAGCAGUGGCACAAAAAGGUCCCAAGAAGGCAGGAAGGUUAAUGAUCAUAUCAGCCGCUGGCUGAUCACAAACCCUGAGGGUGUAUACGAGAAGCAGAAGAAGCAGAGGGAAUAUCCCGUUUAAGUUUAGAUAGUAUUUGUAAAGAUAUUGACCAUAUCCUUUUCUGAAAGUGUGGAUAUAAUGGAUGGGGUAAGGUACUGACAUGCUACAACUUUAUAGUUGUUAAAUUCUUGUACAUGUUUUUUUUUAGUUUUUUUUAAUUAUUAAUUAUUAUCCUACCCAAUUAUGUGUUUCUUUUAAUCAGAGUAUGCUGUUUUAAUGACUUUACAAUAUCAUUUACAUUGUGUUCCUUACAUUUUCCCUAAUUGUAUGUUAUAUUAAUCCUAUAUUUCCAUCCAUCCAUCUUCAUCCGCUUUAUCCGAGGCCGGGUCGCGGGGGCAGCAGCCUAAGCAAAGAGGCCCAGACCUCCCUCUCCCCAGCUACCUCCUCCAGCUUAUCCGGGGGAAUACCAAGGCGUUCCCAGGCCAGCCGAGAGAUAUAAUCUCUCCAGCGUGUCCUGGGUCUGCCCCGGGGCCUCCUCCCGGUGGGACAUGCCUGGAACACCUCACCCAGGAGGCGCCCAGGGGGCAUCCUUGUCAGAUGCCCGAACCACCUCAGCUGGCUCCUUUCGAUGUGGAGCAGCAGCUGCUCUACUCUGAGCCCCUCCCGGAUGGCCGACCUUCUCACCCUAUCUCUAAGGGAGAGGCCAGCCACCCUUCGGAGGAAGCUCAUUUCUGCCGCUUGUAUCCGCGAUCUCGUUCUUUCGGUCACUACCCACAGCUCAUGGCCAUAGGUGAGGGUAGGGACGUAGAUCGACCGGUAAAUUGAGAGCUUCGUGUAACCCUGGUAAGAUUUACAGCAAUCAGAAGUACAGGGUUCUUUGAAUGCAUCGUAGUCCUUGUCUGAUAGUUUAAUUUCCGGGCUUGCCCUGAAGGCACCAUCUGCAGCUCCGUGCGCGUGAAGGUGUGGUGUAGAGGAAAAAGGACGGCAAGGAAAAACUCCAUGCUGCCGCGGAGCACGGUUUUUUCCAGUUGAAAGAGAGGAAAGAAAGAGGUUUAACAUUUGUGAGAGAGCUGUCGUUAGCGGUGAACCACAGACGGGUACCUACCUGAAAGGAGCCGGAGUAUUUCUUUGAACUUUUUGAACUAUUCUGGUGAGUUAGCCUAGCUCACUUAGCACCGCUAUUGCAGUUCAAUACACUGGAAAAAAUAACUAACCAGUCAGAAUAGUAGUAAAUGUGUUUAAUGAUGUUUAAGAUGUGUUUUCAUAGUAUUGCAAUGUUGUGACAGUUUUGUUUAUUAUGAGUGUCUAAUGUUUUUACUUUCUUGGGCCUGCUAGUUCAGCCGUGGCCAGCUAAGUGGUUAUGCGCAGUUCACGUGCAAUAGCUGUGCUGUUACUGUAACUGCGGGUGAUGCACAGUAAUACGGUGUAUUUACUUUUAAUGUGUCACAAGAUGCAGAUUUAUUUUAAUAUUUCAAAAGAACCAAGGACAUUAGGAACAAGGACAUUUAAGGAAUGUGGACAUCUAACAUUCUGCGUAUUUGUGUGCAGACUGGUUUUUUUUUGAGGUACAGUUCCAUGGGUGCCAAGUGAGGAGCUGGUAUCGUGGGUCUAAGACACUGUUGCUGCUGUGGAGGCCUUCUCUGUGUCAGGACGCCGACACGUUGAUGCCUGCCGUACCAGGAGGGCGGUAGGGAAAAAAACAAAAGGAAGCCCACCUGAGAGAUACCUUAUCAUUUUCUUUUGCUACUUUUUCUCCGCCUGAGAUUCAGGUCGUUUUCAGUUCUUAACCCAGGACAGUGGGUAACUGAAUAAACUGACACCAUAAGGAACUGGACACUCACAUGCUAUUUUCUUUUCUUUUUCCUUUUCUUUGGGGUGUUGAAAUAUUGUGUUUCUUGUCUUACAUCUAUUUUGAUUGUUUCAAUUAUUUUUGUGAUGCAUUUGAGAUGGUUACUGCAUUUGAAGAUAUCCCUACAUUGAGGAUGAGCAAAGGGAACUGAUCCAAAAGGAAAUAUAUAAAGCAAACUUUGUUUCACAAGCCUGUGGUCGUGCGUGUUAUGUGGGUUGGAAGUCUCAUUGCUCUUACAGAGUUGCUACCGCCAAUCUCCUUCCCAAACCUAGAUUCGGAUAUUGUAGACAUUGCACUUGGGCGAGCAGUAUAGAUCAUCUCUUUAUAGAUAGAGGGACACACGUCCAGGUUACAUUCGCUUUUACACUCAGCUCCCUCUUCACCACGACGGACCGGUGCAGCG